AGCAAUUUGGCGCAGUGGAAGCGCGGUAUGUUUACAAUAUCUACCGUAAUAACUCAUGAGUUCGAAAACUAACUCUCCUCAGCCGGGCUCAUAACCCGGAGGUCGCACGAUCGAAACGUGCAAUUGCUA